rnacentral:rRNA from 1 species
AAUCUUCGGCAAUGGACGGAAGUCUGACCGAGCAACGCCGCGUGAGUGAAGAAAGUCUUCGGAUUGUAAAGCUCUGUUAUUAGGGAAGAAAAUCUAGAAUAGGAAAUGGUUUUAGAUUGACGGUACCUAAUGAGAAAGCCACGGCUAACUACGUGCCAGCAGCCGCGGUAAUACGUAGGUGGCGAGCGUUGUCCGGAAUUAUUGGGCGUAAAGGGUGCGUAGGCGGCCUUUAAGUCAGAUGUGAAAGCCCACGGCUUAACCGUGGGACUGCAUUUGAAACUGGAGGGCUUGAGUAUCGGAGAGGGUAGUGGAAUUCCCAGUGUAGCGGUGGAAUGCGUAGAUAUUGGGAGGAACACCAGUGGCGAAGGCGACUACCUGGACGAAAACUGACGCUGAGGCACGAAAGCUAGGGGAGCAAAC